GUGGGGAAUUUUGGACAAUGGGCGAAAGCCUGAUCCAGCAAUGCCGCGUGCAGGAUGAAGGCCUUCGGGUUGUAAACUGCUUUUGUACGGAACGAAAAGCUUCGGGUUAAUACCCUGGAGCCAUGACGGUACCGUAAGAAUAAGCACCGGCUAACUACGUGCCAGCAGCCGCGGUAAUACGUAGGGUGCAAGCGUUAAUCGGAAUUACUGGGCGUAAAGCGUGCGCAGGCGGUUUUGUAAGACAGAGGUGAAAUCCCCGGGCUCAACCUGGGAACUGCCUUUGUGACUGCAAGGCUAGAGUACGGCAGAGGGGGAUGGAAUUCCGCGUGUAGCAGUGAAAUGCGUAGAUAUGCGGAGGAACACCGAUGGCGAAGGCAAUCCCCUGGGCCUGUACUGACGCUCAUGCACGAAAGCGUGGGGAGCAAACAGGAUUAGAAACCCGUGUAGUCC
rnacentral:rRNA from 1 species